GCGGGUCUAUAAUGCAGUCGAGCGGACAGAUGGGAGCUUGCUCCCUGAUGUUAGCGGCGGACGGGUGAGUAACACGUGGGUAACCUGCCUGUAAGACUGGGAUAACUCCGGGAAACCGGGGCUAAUACCGGAUGGUUGUUUGAACCGCAUGGUUCAAACAUAAAAGGUGGCUUCGGCUACCACUUACAGAUGGACCCGCGGCGCAUUAGCUAGUUGGUGAGGUAACGGCUCACCAAGGCGACGAUGCGUAGCCGACCUGAGAGGGUGAUCGGCCACACUGGGACUGAGACACGGCCCAGACUCCUACGGGAGGCAGCAGUAGGGAAUCUUCCGCAAUGGACGAAAGUCUGACGGAGCAACGCCGCGUGAGUGAUGAAGGUUUUCGGAUCGUAAAGCUCUGUUGUUAGGGAAGAACAAGUACCGUUCGAAUAGGGCGGUACCUUGACGGUACCUAACCAGAAAGCCACGGCUAACUACGUGCCAGCAGCCGCGGUAAUACGUAGGUGGCAAGCGUUGUCCGGAAUUAUUGGGCGUAAAGGGCUCGCAGGCGGUUUCUUAAGUCUGAUGUGAAACCCCCGGCUCACCGGGGAGGGCAUUGGAAACUGGGGAACUUGAGUGCAGAAGAGGAGAGUGGAAUUCCCGUGUAGCGGUGAAUGCGUAGAGAUGUGGAGGAAACCAGUGGCGAAGCGACUCUCUGGUCUGUACUGACGCUGAGGAGCGAAAGCGUGGGGAGCGAACAGGAUUAGAUACCCUGGUAGUCCACGCCGCUAACGAUGAGUGCUAAGUGUUAGGGGGUUCCGCCCCUUAGUGCUGCAGCUAACGCAUUAAGCACUCCGCCUGGGGAGUACGGUCGCAAGACUGAGACUCACAAGGAUUGACACGGGGCCCGCACAAGCGGUGGAGCAUGUGGGUUUAUUCGAAGCAACGCGAAGAACCUUACCAGGUCUUGACAUCCUCUGACAAUCCCUAAAGAUAGGACGUCCCCCUUCCUGGGGCAAAGUGACACGGUGUGGCAUGGUUGUCGUCACCUCCCGUCCGUGAAAUGUUGGGUUAAGUUCCCCAACAAGCGCAACCCUUGAUCUUAGUUGCCAGCAUUCAAUUGGGCACCUUAAGGGACUGCGGUGAACAACCGAGGAAGGUGGGAGACGUCAAUCACAUGCCCUUUGACUGGGUACCCCUGUAAAUGGAAAACAAGGGACGAACCCCGGGUAACCAUCCCAAAUUGUUC
rnacentral:rRNA from 1 species